rnacentral:rRNA from 1 species
CAGCCGCCGCGGUAAUACGUAGGGUGCGAGCGUUAAUCGGAAUUACUGGGCGUAAAGCGUGCGCAGGCGGUUGUGUAAGACAGGUGUGAAAUCCCCGGGCUUAACCUGGGAACUGCAUUUGUGACUGGCGAGCUAGAGUAUGGCAGAGGGGGGUAGAAUUCCACGUGUAGCAGCGAAAUGCGUAGAGAUGUGGAGGAAUACCGAUGGCGAAGGCAGCCCCCUGGGCCAAUACUGACGCUCAUGCACGAAAGCGUGGGGAGCAAACAGGAUUAGAUACCCGCGUAGUCCCUGUCUCUUAUAC